rnacentral:rRNA from 1 species
AGGUGUACGCGGUGCGAGCCGUUCAGCCGAGCAGUACUAAUCACCCGAACACUUC